CUACGGGCUGCUCCAGUGAGGAAUAUUGCACAAUGGAGGAAACUCUGAUGCAGCAACGCCGCGUGGAGGAUGACGCAUUUCGGUGUGUAAACUCCUUUUAUAUGUCAAGAAAAUGACGGUAGCAUAUGAAUAAGCUCCGGCUAACUCCGUGCCAGCAGCCGCGGUAAUACGGAGGGAGCAAGCGUUACUCGGAAUCACUGGGCGUAAAGGACGCGUAGGCGGGAUAGAAAGUCAGGUGUGAAAUCCUAUGGCUCAACCAUAGAACUGCACUUGAAACUUCUAACCUAGAGUAUGGGAGGGGAAGAUGGAAUUAGUGGUGUAGGGGUAAAAUCCGUAGAUAUCACUAGGAAUACCAAAAGCGAAGGCGAUCUUCUGGAACAAUACUGACGCUAAGGCGUGAAAGCGUGGGGAGCAAACAGGAUUAGAUACCCUGGUAGUC
rnacentral:rRNA from 1 species